GACGUAGGGGCCAAGCGUUGUCCGGAUUUAUUGGGCGUAAAGAGCUCGUAGGCGGUUGGGUAAGUCGGGGGUGAAAACUCCAGGCUCAACUUGGAGAUGCCACCCGAUACUGCUCUGACUUGAGUUCGGUAGGGGAGUGGGGAAUUCCUGGUGUAGCGGUGAAAUGCGCAGAUAUCAGGAGGAACACCGGUGGCGAAGGCGCCACUCUGGGCCGAAACUGACGCUGAGGAGCGAAAGCGUGGGUAGCAAACAGG
rnacentral:rRNA from 1 species